CGCAAGCCUGACGGAGCAAGACCGCGUGGGGGAGGAAAGCCUUUGGGUUGUAAACCCCUUUUCUCAGGGAAGAAGAAAGUGACGGUACCUGAGGAAUCAGCCUCGGCUAACUCCGUGCCAGCAGCCGCGGUAAUACGGAGGAUGCAAGCGUUAUCCGGAAUUAUUGGGCGUAAAGCGUCCGCAGGUGGCUUGUCAAGUCUGCUGUCAAAGACUGGGGCUUAACUCCGGGCAGGCAGUGGAAACUGAAUAGCUAGAGUGCGGUAGGGGCAGAGGGAAUUCCCGGUGUAGCGGUGAAAUGCGUAGAGAUCGGGAAGAACACCGGUGGCGAAAGCGCUCUGCUGGGCCGCAACUGACACUGAGGGACGAAAGCUAGGGGAGCG
rnacentral:rRNA from 1 species